UACGAAGGGGGCUAGCGUUGCUCGGAAUCACUGGGCGUAAAGGGUGCGUAGGCGGGUCUUUAAGUCAGGGGUGAAAUCCUGGAGCUCAACUCCAGAACUGCCUUUGAUACUGGAAGACUGAGUUCCGGGAAGAGGUGAGUGGAACUGCGAGUGUAGAGGUGAAAUUCGUAGAUAUUCGCAAGAACACCAGUGGCGAAGGCGGCUCACUGGUCCGGUACUGACGCUGAGGUGCGAAAGCGUGGGAGGC
rnacentral:rRNA from 1 species